rnacentral:rRNA from 1 species
UACGUAGGGUGCAAGCGUUGUCCGGAAUUAUUGGGCGUAAAGGGCUCGUAGGCGGUCCAUCGCGUCGGGAGUGAAAAGCUGGGGCUUAACCCCAGUCCUGCUUCCGAUACGGGUGGACUAGAGGUAGGUAGGGGAGAACGGAAUUCCUGGUGUAGCGGUGGAAUGCGCAGAUAUCAGGAGGAACACCGGUGGCGAAGGCGCUCUGCUAGGCCGUAACUGACACUGAGGGACGAAAGCUAGGGGAGCGAAUGGG